rfam:Schistosoma haematobium scaffold1500_1, whole genome shotgun sequence.
GCACUGCUGAGGAGUCCCACAAUAGGACGAAACGGUCGUUCAGUGC